rnacentral:rRNA from 1 species
GACGAACGCUGGCGGCGUGCUUAACACAUGCAAGUCGAACGGUGAUGCUCCAGCUUGCUGGAGUGGAUCAGUGGCGAACGGGUGAGUAACACGUGAGCAACCUGCCCCAGACUCUGGAAUAAGCGCUGGAAACGGCGUCUAAUACUGGAUACGAAACUGGCCCGCAUGGGCAUGGUUUGGAAAGUUUUUCGGUUUGGGAUGGGCUCGCGGCCUAUCAGCUUGUUGGUGAGGUAAUGGCUCACCAAGGCGACGACGGGUAUCCGGCCUGAGAGGGCGACCGGCCACACUGGGACUGAGAAACGGCCCAGACUCCUACGGGAGGCAGCAGUGGGGAAUAUUGCACAAUGGGCGAAAGCCUGAUGCAGCGACGCCGCGUGAGGGAUGACGGCCUUCGGGUUGUAAACCUCUUUCAGCAGGGAAGAAGCGAAAGUGACGGUACCUGCAGAAGAAGCACCGGCUAACUACGUG